GAAAUGAAACAAAUCUUGUUUAGUUUAAAAUAUAAUCAUUUUUGCCAUUUACGAAGUUUACACCUGUCCCAGUAUAAAAAGUAUACUGGUAUCGCUUAAUAAUUUAAACUUAGGCAAAUUAACGCGACAAUAUUUUAUCCUGUGUAUAAGCCAUGUUAGACGUUAGAAAUUUACUCUGAUCGCAACCAAAAAAAAUGUAACUUCGGUCCACCUCCAUUUUCAACAUUUUUGGUGAAAUAACGAGUCAUUUUUUUACUUUUUUAGUGGAAUUUAUUUAACAGCAGAACAAUUUACCCGAAGUUUGCUCUGCAAAUGCAUCGACUUGGAGAAAAACGCAUCCGAAUGAAAGAGUCUCCACCGGAAUACGAGUAACAUCACGAGUGCAGUCAACCAUCCCACUAAAGUCGAUCCUCAGCUGGCGCUGAGGAGCACAGCCUGCCACAUCCGGAAGUGCAACAAUCCAAUGACCAUCCCGGAGCACGUAAGAUGCAUCAUCAGUAAUAAUAGGAAGCGCAAGGCUCCGAGAAAGACGUUCCGGAGAAACCACGGCAAAAGCGAGGACAAUGAUGCAGCAGACUAUGUAGCGCACACCAAUCAUCCGGAAGAGGAGGAAUCCGGUGAGGAAUCGAUGAUGCCCAAGCGUUGUGAGCCGAACACCCGUCCAAAAUUCUAUCGUACAAGGCUUUUUUCGUGCAUAGGCGAGGGUUCUGGGACGCUUCCGGAGAUUCUUGCGAUCUGCAUGCCGGAAAUCAAAAUCUGGAUGACGAAGUUUUUUUUUUCAGAAAUUUUCGAAAACCCCAAGUCACUAUGCUGUUGCCCACCAGCUCCGUUCGAAGGAAACUACAAUAAUUUUAUUAAAUAAUAAAUAAAACAGAGUUACAUCUCUU